UACGUAGGGACCAAGCGUUGUUCGGAUUUACUGGGCGUAAAGGGCGCGUAGGCGGCAAUUCAAGUCAGUUGUGAAAUCUCCGAGCUUAACUCGGAACGGUCAACUGAUACUGUCUUGCUAGAGUACAGGAAGGGCAAUCGGAAUUCUUGGUGUAGCGGUGAAAUGCGUAGAUAUCAAGAGGAACACCUGAGGUGAAGACGGGUUGCUGGCUGAUACUGACGCUGAGGCGCGAAGCUAGGGUAGCAAACGGG
rnacentral:rRNA from 1 species